UUACGGCCACAUCACGUUGAAACACCGAUUCCCCUACGAUCACCGAAGUUAAGCAACGUCCAGCCUGGUCAGUACUUAGAUGGGUCACUGCUUGGGAAUACCAAGUGAUGUAAG